rnacentral:lncRNA from 1 species
CUCCACCCUUCACUCGCCUCAUUGUGCCCAGGCAGCACCAAGGUCAGAAAUUAAUUGGAGACACUGCAAAACACACAGCCUGUAAUAUUUCAGUUCAGUGAGGUCACAAGAAAAACUCAGUUAAAGCCUUAUUAGAGCAGUUUACAGGAGCACAUUACUGCGAAUAUGAAAUGAGAGUCUUGUCUUGAUGGAUGCGUCACCUACCCAAGAUAUUUGUUGAGAAUAAUUUGAAAAUCACCCCCGUACAUGGUUGUAUAUUCUUCGUUGUGGGUCCUUCUAGUUGUGGCAUGUGGGACGCUGCCUCAGCGUGGUUUGACGAGCAGUGCCAUGUCCGCGCCCAGGAUUCGAACCAACGAAACACUGGGCCGCCUGCAGCGGAGCGCGCGAACUUAACCACUCGGCCACGGGGCCAGCCCCUGCAAUUAAUAUUUUUAUCCGGCCCAAGAAUCCUCUACCUACGGCUGGCAGAUGAAGAAAAGAAAUCGGAGGAGGCACACUGUCUACAGAUGCUGAGACUGAGCCUUGGAGUAAUUAAGUGAAUUAUCUAAUCGCACAGGUGGAAAGUGGCAAAUUCAGGAUUCCAACCUUCAUUUUCUCACUUCAACGCCACCACUCCUAACCACCAUCCUGUACAAUGCCCCUAUCGCCAUGGCCUGGGGCCAAGAAGCUGAAUGGAAAAGGACAUUUCUAUUUACUUCAGAGGAAGUUCGUUAUGAAAUAAGGAUCAUCCUUGAAUACUCCUUUCUCCAUGGUCACAAGAUUGUUACAAAGAGGUGACAUAAAGUACCUCUCCUGAUUAUGAUUCUGGACUGCCUGUGUUCAAACCUCAGCUCUGUGACUCCUGAUGAAUAGUUCAAUUCUUCUGUUUCCCUACAUGUAAAAUGGGUACAGCAAUAGUGCCUGCCUCAUUGGUCACUGUGAUGAUUAUAAAUGUAAUGCCCUCAAAAUCGCAUAUGGCACUAACCAUGCCAUCAAGUACGUGCAUGCCCUCAACUAGCUCACAGCUUUGACAUUUCAAGACAAAAAUAAGGCUUUCCCACAAUUUUCAUUUAGUGUUUAAUUUCCAUUUCAUGUUACAUCAAUUACAUUUUUCUAAGACAGAAAAUAUGCCAAGUGCUAUAAAAUAUAUAUUAUGCUCAAUAUGAGCUCUGAAAGGACAUUACUUUAAAGCAAAAGUGCUUACAAAGAAAUAAAUGUUUAGAAAGCAUAUUCUGAAAAGAGCCAGCUAUUACAAUGAUAUAAAGAUAUGUGCAAUGCACUCUAAUUUUCCAUUUUUAGAAAUUGCAAAGCAUGUUAUGUCUUGACACGAGCCUGGUAAAGAUCUCGUUCCGUUCCCCUCACUUUUUUCAAAUAAUUAUGGGUUCCAACUUCUUUUCUAUUACUGUAAUUUAAAAUAUCAAGGCAUGAAACAUAAGUAAUAAGAUGGAGUUUCUUUGUAUUCUCUGGACUUUUGCUUUAAAGAUGGAGAAUAAAGCAAAAGAGUUAUAAGGAUAGAAAUUCACUUGCGACCACCUGGCUGUGAAAAGCCUGAAUGUGCUGGAGUGAUUGGGUGGUCCUGGGGGCCACCCACUCAGUUCAGGCUGAAGAGGGUAAGAAAGGAAAGAAAAGAAGGAAAGAGACCCUUUUGUCCUUCUGUGUCCCCUGCUGCCUGCAUGUUCUCUCUGUAGCACUUCUCAAUGGAAUAUUAUCUAGGUCUUCUUUUCCUUUCUGCUUUAGCUCUGUCUCUUAGCCCAUUUAAAGUUCCUCUCUCUCACCUUUUAGGGCCUUAAGGUCUUAUACUUUGACAGACAAAAUUUUAAAAAUAUAAUUAUUAUAAGUCAUUCCUGGAAAUACAAUGCCUUACCCAAAAGAAUUACUUUCUAGUGGUAGAAAUCUGGCACGUGGCAGAUAGUGGGAAAGCUAUCUUAGGGAAGGGGCCCCCUGAGCUCACUGUGAUGGCUUCCCUGGUCUGCUGUGGUGACGGACUGGGCUAGUUACAACAUCUGAGAGAAGUAGCAACAGGAGAGAAAAGAAAAUAGGAGAAGAAGAGAACUUUAUUUUUCGCUUACUACACAUAAAAUGUUUCUUUCUUCUCCAACGGGAGGCGUGAGAAGAGGAUGUGCUUCACACCUGCAGUGAUUCGGGAUGGGCUGGAGCGGGGAGGGGGUCUGACUGUUACCUAACACGUCUCUAGGUGUAUUUUGUUGUGAAAAGCUUUGCCUAUAUUGCUUUAAAAAAAGAAAGAGAAACUCACACUUUUCUCUCUUUGUAGUUGUCGUAUCUGGAUAAUGGUCAUAUAUUUUUUAACUUACAAUAUAUUAAAGUUUCAUCUUUAAUUUGUUUUUCUAUUUUAUUUAACAGAGUCAGAUUUUUAAAAACAAAAUCUAUAACCCAUCAAAUGCUCAAUCAAGGAUUCUGCUUAAGGAAGAAUAGAAACCUUGAUAUAUUUUAAAAACUAAUAUAUGUUAAAAUACAGAUCUUUUCGAAAAGAAUAUAAAGCUGAAAGUUUGUCUAUGGCUAAUAGUGUUUUAGGAGGAAAGCUUAUUUUGAAACCAUUAAAUUUUAAAUACUUUAUUCUUGCAAAUUCUUUAUGCACUCAACUUCCCUCUUAAAAAGAGAUGUGUGAAAUAGGGACAGAAAUAUUUAAAAAAAUAAAACCUAUGACAUUAUGAACUGUGGCAUUCAAUAGCCAUAGUUAAAUAGAGAGCUCACAAAUUUGACUCUUUAAAGCAAAAUGAAGCUUUCACAAAAUUUCCAUUUAGCUUUACAUUAUUGCAUUUUCCUAAAUUACAAAAAUGUGUGUGGUGCUUUAAAUAGAUGACAAUGCUCAGUUCAAGUUCUGGAAGGAUAUUACUUUAAACCAACAUGGCAAUCAGAAUACAGCUGCAGGACUAGCAACAGCUGGCCACAGCUGAAGGAUCCAAUCCUCAGAAAGCUAGAAAACCUGGAAAACUAGGAGGGCAGUCAUCAGCAACAGGGAUGUCUCUCAGAACAAAAGACCAAGCCUGUAGGUGGGAUUUGGGAAUGAGGACCUUUUUAGGUGGGAGUGAGUUUGGCAAUAACAAGGAGAGAGAUAUAGGUAGAGAGAGGUAAUAGGACCCUGAAUGUUAGGAACAAGAUUGGAGUUGAAUUCUCACAAAUGGAAACUAUGCUUCUCAGAAUGAGACCAAAACCUAGUUUCCAGUACUGGGUCAAAGAAGAGUGUUGAACGACAACAAGAAUGGCCUUAUAGACCAGACUGAAAUUCUUCCUCAACAAGGUUAAGAUAAGCCUUAGAAACUUGAAUGGAGUUGAGACUGUAAGUGACAAUUAGGUGGCCCCAGUUACAGGAAGAGGCAAGUUAAUGUUGGAAACUUGUUUGGGUCUGACAGUGGAAACUUAAAUAAAAGUGCCAUUUUCACUGGGGAAUGGGAAAAAUGGUGUUGGGUGGGAAGUUUUUCAGGAUGAGUGGAAUGGAGAUGAGAAAGGAAGAGAGGGAAAGGGCAUUCCAGGUGGAAUGACUAAUAAGCAAUGAAAUGAUGAGUUGUUGUUGAGGAAUGACAAGUUUAUUAUGUGGUUGAGCAAAGGGUGAGAGGAGAGAUGAGUGGAAAUAGGAUGGGCCCAAUGGCGAGAGGCCUGAGUACCAUUUUGAGGAAUUUAACCAAGUUCUAUUUGAAGAAUGACAAGCAAGCAAAGAGUGAGAGGGGAAAUCUGUGGAAUCAAGAAUGGGCCUAAAUAAUGACAUUCUGAGGAAUUUAAACUUUAUUCUACAGGCCCUGGUCAGCAUUGAAUAUUCAAGAGGGAACUAAUUGGAUUUAACUUGCUUUUUGGAAGAUAACUUUGGAGACAGUGUGAUGAGUUUGCAUUUUCAGUUCUGGCAAGAAAUAACAAGGCCUCAAACUAAGACAGCAGUGGCAUAAAUACAGCUACUAUGGCUUUAAUAAAAUUUGCAUCACUUGGUGAAGGUUUGAAUAUUGGUAUAAAUCAAAACAGUUAAAAUGCAGGAGAAAAACACGUGUUCCCAAACACAAAGAAAUGUGCUCAUUUGAUAGGCCGUCCCAGAAUUUCCCAGGUGCUGGGAUGUACCACUGAGAUUCAGAUUAAUCAGCUUCUGGGAGGGGUCUGGACAUUUCCGUUUUGAACAAUGGUUUGGAGACAAUGAUUGCAUACGUUGUUCAGUGUCUGAUAGGUCAAGUAGAUAGAAAAGACAUAGGGAGAAAUUUCUUGACCUGGAUAAAGUCACUUGCAAUCUCAACUCCAUAAAGGAUAGUGGUUACAUUGCUCUGUUAUAUUUGUAAUAAUUACGGAAACAUAUACUUAUUAUUUAUGUACUUUUCUC